rnacentral:rRNA from 1 species
GACGAACGCUGGCGGCGCGCCUAAUACAUGCAAGUAGAACGCUGAAGAGACGAGCUUGCUCUUCUUGGAUGAGUUGCGAACGGGUGAGUAACGCGUAGGUAACCUGCCUUGUAGCGGGGGAUAACUAUUGGAAACGAUAGCUAAUACCGCAUAACAAUGGAUGACACAUGUCAUUUAUUUGAAAGGGGCAAUUGCUCCACUACAAGAUGGACCUGCGUUGUAUUAGCUAGUAGGUGAGGUAAUGGCUCACCUAGGCGACGAUACAUAGCCGACCUGAGAGGGUGAUCGGCCACACUGGGACUGAGACACGGCCCAGACUCCUACGGGAGGCAGCAGUAGGGAAUCUUCGGCAAUGGGGGCAACCCUGACCGAGCAACGCCGCGUGAGUGAAGAAGGUUUUCGGAUCGUAAAGCUCUGUUGUAAGUCAAGAACGGGUGUGAGAGUGGAAAGUUCACACUGUGACGGUAGCUUACCAGAAAGGGACGGCUAACUACGUG